rnacentral:rRNA from 1 species
ACUGGCGCACGGGUGAGUAAACGCGUAUCCAACCUUCCCAUACUACGGGAUAACCCGUUGAAAGACGGCCUAAUACCGUAUGACAUCGUUUGCUGACAUCAAAAUAACGAUUAAAAGGUUUAGCGGGUUAUGGAUGGGGAUGCGUCUGAUUAGCUUGUUGGCGGGGUAACGGCCCACCAAGGCGACGAUCAGUAGGGGUUCUGAGAGGAAGGUCCCCCCCACAUUGGAACUGAGACACGGUCCAAACUCCUACGGGAGGCAGCAGUGAGGAAUAUUGGUCAAUGGGGCGAGAGCCUGAACCAGCCAAGUAGCGUGCAGGAUGACGGCCCUAUGGGUUGUAAACUGCUUUUAUGUGGGGAUAAAGUGCGUGACGUGUCAUGCAUUGCAGGUACCACAUGAAUAAGGACCGGCUAAUUCCGUGCCAGCAGCCGCGGUAAU